CGAACGCUGGCGGCGUGCCUAACACAUGCAAGUCGAACGAGAAAGCACCUUCGGGUGUAAGUACAGUGGCAGACGGGUGAGUAGUACUUAGGUAAUCUGCCUCCGAGAUGGGGACAACCUUCCGAAAGGAGGGCUAAUACCGAAUAAGACCACAGCCACACAAGUGGCAGGGGUAAAAGAUGGCCUCUACUUGUAAGCUAUCACUUGGAGAUGAGCCUAAGCACCAUUAGCUUGUUGGUGGGGUAAUGGCCUACCAAGGCUACGAUGGUUAGCUGAUCUGAGAGGUUGAUCAGCCACACUGGAACUGAGACACGGUCCAGACUCCUACGGGAGGCAGCAGUGGGGAAUUUUGCGCAAUGGGGGAAACCCUGACGCAGCGACGCCGCGUGGGUGAUGAAGGCCUUCGGGUCGUAAAGCCCUGUCAAGAGGGAAGAAAAACGGUCUGGCUAAUAUCCAUUCCGAUUGACGGUACCUCUAAAGGAAGCACCGGCUAACUAC
rnacentral:rRNA from 1 species